UUCACCAUACUCGCUGAUAUUCAACUGUGUAGGUAUAGUCACUUUAGAUUAACUAGUAAAUCACAAUAAUAAUAAUCUUUGUAUAUCAUAUAUAUAUAUAUAUAUAUAUAUAUAUAUCAAUCUCACUGUAACACAGGUGUAUUAAUUGCAUCAGUGUUGCAGCAAGUCUCUCUUGCUGGUAACAAAUUAUUUAUAGCCAUGCAUGACACCACAUAAUCUAUAAACUCACUUGUUCCUAUGUUUUUUCCGAUAACCUUUUUUUUGAUGUCUAAUCAUAUAAUCAUUUUUUAACACCCUACUCCUUUGAUUAUCCAGUAUCAACCUAAUCAUAACCUACUUGUCACUAAGUCUAUCUAGUUGAUCAUUUAUGAGGAAAUUCACAUUUUAUUUUUGUUUUAUUUUAUCUUUUGUUGAUAAUUUUAAAUGUUACAACUGUAUUCGACAUUUCAUGACCAUACAAUUUAAAAAGUUCUUUUCAUGGAAUAUGAUAAAGGCAAAAUAAGUUGAGUUGUUGACCUGAACAGAAAGUUUAGUUUUGAAUGGCGAAUUUUGACAGAUUUUCUUAAAGUGUUAUAAAACAUUUAAACAUAGAAGUCAUUGCUUAUAUUUGUGUUAACAGAUACAUCAAGGCUACCUGGAAAAAUCCCUGAACCAAAAGGUUAUCAGAAUGAUUAUUAUAAUGAUAAAGACAGCUAUCAUGAUCGUGAUCAUGACAGCAUUAAUAAAGAUGAUCCACCACCCAGCAAUAGGGAUUAUGAUCGAAGGGACAGCUAUGAUGACAGGCGUGAUAGUUAUGGAGACAGACCAGUUAGUUACUCCAAAAGAGACAGCUAUGAUGAGCGACGAGACAGUUAUGGUGAUAGGGAUCACCACUAUGAAGAAUAUGACAGAGAAAGGGAGG